AACGAGAUUCCCACUGUCCCUAACUACUAUCUAGCGAAACCACAGCCAAGGGAACGGGCUUGGCAAAAUCAGCGGGGAAAGAAGACCCUGUUGAGCUUGACUCUAGUCUGACUUUGUGAAGAGACAUGAGAGGUGUAGCAUAAGUGGGAGCCAAGGGAUCAAUCUUGGCUGUUACUUCGGUGGCAGUUAAGACCCCUUGGCUACAGUGAAAUACCACUACUCUCAUAGUUUCUUUACUUACACGGUUAAAGGGAAGUUGGGAUAGUGUCUCUCUCACUUGGGUUUACCUCAGGGUUCGGGAAGGCCUCCUAUCCUUAAAUUCUAGAGCAAAGUGUGGGUACUUUCAUCAAUGCUCAAGACCCUAUGACUUGUCUUGUUCUUAACGGGACUUGAUGAGACUUAGACUUGAGUUUGAAAGGUAACGUGGGUGUACCGUAAAGAAACUUGUUUCUGGUGCAUACUACAAUCUGCAUGAUCCUCACCGUGGACAUUGUCAGGCGGGGAGUUUGACUGGGGCGGUACAUCUGUCAAAAGGUAACGCAGGUGUCCUAAGGC
rnacentral:rRNA from 2 species